AGAGUUUGAUCAUGGCUCAGAUUGAACGCUGGCGGCAUGCCUUACACAUGCGAGUCGAACGGCAGCAUGAUCUAGCUUGCUAGAUUGAUGGCGAGUGGCGAACGGGUGAGUAAUACAUCGGAACGUGCCCUGUAGUGGGGGAUAACUAGUCGAAAGAUUAGCUAAUACCGCAUACGACCUGAGGGUGAAAGUGGGGGACCGCAAGGCCUCAUGCUAUAGGAGCGGCCGAUGUCUGAUUAGCUAGUUGGUGAGGUAAAGGCUCACCAAGGCGACGAUCAGUAGCUGGUCUGAGAGGACGAUCAGCCACACUGGGAUUGAGACACGGCCCAGACUCCUACGGGAGGCAGCAGUGGGGAAUUUUGGACAAUGGGGGCAACCCUGAUCCAGCAAUGCCGCGUGUGUGAAGAAGGCCUUCGGGUUGUAAAGCACUUUUGUCCGGAAAGAAAUCGCACUUACUAAUAUUAGGUGUGGAUGACGGUACCGGAAGAAUAAGGACCGGCUAACUACGUGCCAGCAGCCGCGGUAAUACGUAGGGUCCAAGCGUUAAUCGGAAUUACUGGGCGUAAAGCGUGCGCAGGCGGUUGUGCAAGACCGAUGUGAAAUCCCCGGGCUUAACCUGGGAAUUGCAUUGGUGACUGCACGGCUAGAGUGUGUCAGAGGGGGGUAGAAUUCCACGUGUAGCAGUGAAAUGCGUAGAGAUGUGGAGGAAUACCGAUGGCGAAGGCAGCCCCCUGGGAUAACACUGACGCUCAUGCACGAAAGCGUGGGGAGCAAACAGGAUUAGAUACCCUGGUAGUCCACGCCCUAAACGAUGUCAACUAGUUGUUGGGGAUUCAUUUCCUUAGUAACGUAGCUAACGCGUGAAGUUGACCGCCUGGGGAGUACGGUCGCAAGAUUAAAACUCAAAGGAAUUGACGGGGACCCGCACAAGCGGUGGAUGAUGUGGAUUAAUUCGAUGCAACGCGAAAAACCUUACCUACCCUUGACAUGCCACUAACGAAGCAGAGAUGCAUUAGGUGCUCGAAAGAGAAAGUGGACACAGGUGCUGCAUGGCUGUCGUCAGCUCGUGUCGUGAGAUGUUGGGUUAAGUCCCGCAACGAGCGCAACCCUUGUCUCUAGUUGCUACGAAAGGGCACUCUAGAGAGACUGCCGGUGACAAACCGGAGGAAGGUGGGGAUGACGUCAAGUCCUCAUGGCCCUUAUGGGUAGGGCUUCACACGUCAUACAAUGGUGCAUACAGAGGGUUGCCAAGCCGCGAGGUGGAGCUAAUCCCAGAAAAUGCAUCGUAGUCCGGAUCGUAGUCCGCAACUCGACUACGUGAAGCUGGAAUCGCUAGUAAUCGCGGUUCAGCAUGCCGCGGUGAAUACGUUCCCGGGUCUUGUAGACACCGCC
rnacentral:rRNA from 1 species